rnacentral:tRNA from 1 species
CCCCACCUAGCCCAGUGGCUCAGGCGCCUCGCUUCAGCCGAGGAGACCCGAGUUCGAUCCCCCUGGGUGUAGC